UACGUAGGGUGCGAGCGUUGUCCGGAAUUACUGGGCGUAAAGAGCUCGUAGGUGGUUUGUCGCGUUGUUCGUGAAAUCUCACGGCUUAACUGUGAGCGUGCGGGCGAUACGGGCAGACUUGAGUACUGCUGGGGAGACUGGAAUUCCUGGUGUAGCGGUGGAAUGCGCAGAUAUCAGGAGGAACACCGGUGGCGAAGGCGAGUCUCUGGGCAGUAACUGACGCUGAGGAGCGAAAGCGUGGGGAGCGAACAGG
rnacentral:rRNA from 1 species